rnacentral:rRNA from 1 species
UACAGAGGGUGCGAGCGUUAAUCGGAAUUACUGGGCUUAAAGAGUUCGUAGGCGGCGCGGAAAGUAGGGUGUGAAAGCCCUCGGCUCAACCGAGGAAUUGCGCUCUAAACUACCGUGCUUGAGGAAGCUAGAGGUGAGCGGAACUGAUGGUGGAGCGGUGAAAUGCGUUGAUAUCAUCAGGAACACCGGAGGCGAAGGCGGCUCACUGGGGCUUUUCUGACGCUGAGGAACGAAAGCCAGGGGAGCGAACGGG